AUUGAACGCUGGCGGCAGGCCUAACACAUGCAAGUCGAGCGGUAGCGAGAAACUGGCUUCUCUUGAGAGCGGCGGACGGGUGCGGAAUGCCUAGGAAUCUGACAGGGCGUGGGGGAUGAGGUUCGGUAACGGAAACUAAUACCGCAUCCGUCCUACGGGGCAAAGCCAGAGAGCGUCGGGCCUUGCGCUAUCAGCUGCACCUAGGUCGGGUUAGCUAGUUGGUGGGGUAAUGGCUCACCAAGGCGACGAUCCGUAACUGGUCUGAGAGGAUGAUCAGUCACACUGGAACUGAGACACGGUCCAGACUCCUACGGGAGGCAGCAGUGGGGAAUAUUGGACAAUGGGCGCAAGCCUGAUCCAGCCAUGCCGCGUGUGUGAAGAAGGUCUUCGGAUUGUAAAGCACUUUAAGUUGGGAGGAAGGGCAGUAAAUUAAUACCUUGCCUCAUUGACGUUACCGACAGAAUAAGCACCGGCUAACUCCGUG
rnacentral:rRNA from 1 species